GAUGAACGCUAGCGGCAGGCCUAAUACAUGCAAGUCGAGGGGCAGCGCGGUAGCAAUACUGGCGGCGACCGGCGCACGGGUGCGUAACACGUAUGCAACCUACCUUCAACUGGAGGAUAGCCCGGGGAAACUCGGAUUAAUACUCCAUAACACAGGGAUCCCGCAUGGGAAUAUUGUUAAAGCUACGGCGGUUGAAGAUGGGCAUGCGUUCGAUUAGCUAGUUGGUGUAGGUAACGGCUCACCAAGGCUACGAUCGAUAGGGGGUCUGAGAGGAUGAUCCCCACACUGGUACUGAGAUACGGACCAGACUCCUACGGGAGGCAGCAGUAGGGAAUAUUGGUCAAUGGGCGCAAGCCUGAACCAGCCAUGCCGCGUGCAGGAAGAAGGCCCUACGGGGUUGUAAACUGCUUUUAUACGGGAAUAAAUCUCGCUACGUGUAGUGAGUUGAAUGUACUGUAAGAAUAAGGAUCGGCUAACUCCGUGCCAGCAGCCGCGGUAAU
rnacentral:rRNA from 1 species